GGGCGUGUAACUCAGUGGUAGAGUGCUCGCUUUGCAUGCGAGAAGCCCAGGGUUCGACUCCCUGCUCGUCCA